rnacentral:lncRNA from 1 species
GAGCAUUUUUUACACCAAGAUGUAAAAAUGAAUUUCACGCUGUUUCUGCCCUGGAAGACAUCUUGCCACAUGCCCUACCUAAAUCCAGAUGUGAGAACCAUCUGAAAACCAGUGGAAUUUGCAGAAAUGAAAAUGAAGUGUUUUCCACAUUUCAAGCCUUUGGAAGAUUGCUGAUGCAGCUUUCCAGCAAGGAAGAAAUGGAGAGACCAAAGGGCUCCUGGAACUGUGACCAUUCCUCUGGGCUCAGCUCCCUCUGGCAAUGA